GAAGACGUUGUGUGGGAGCCCUACUCCCAGUUGGCUAUAAACACUCGUGCACCGUUCGGGAUAUCUUCGGUUUGCUCUCAGGACCAGGGCCUUUGGAUGACAACUACAGCGCUGGUGUACGACGUUUACAUUGAGGCCCAUUGCCCGGACAGAGUCAGGAGGUAGUUCGGUCAAAGGCAGUUGUAUCUUGUGCUGUCAGCAUUGGAUCGGGUCCAACGUCAUGACCACAGUUUGUCGAGGGCUGGUCAACCCUUCUCGAACAUGUGGGUGACAAGGGUGCAGCCUUGGGUCGAUGGCUGGGACCAGGCAGAGGAGAACGUGGCGCUUCCGACCCCUGCACACACGGAGGCUUCGUAAAGGGCGUACCUAAGCUGGUACCAGCCUAAGACUCGUUGCCUCUUGAUAUAUGCUGACAUGCAUCCAGAGCCGCAUGUUGCGACCCCACAUGAUGGCUAUGCACGACAUAGGGAUGAGGCAUUAGCUGGGGCGUUUGAAAUGUGCAGGUUGAUGGACGUAGAUGCCAGGGCGAAUUUGAUGAGG